CAUGCAAGUCGAGCGGUCAAAAUGAGGGGGCUUGCCCCUGAAAGACGAGCGGCGGACGGGUGAGUAAUGCGCGGGAACGCGCCCUUUGGAGGGGGACAACCUUGGGAAACCAGGGCUAAUACCGCAUAACCUCCACGGAGCAAAGCGGGGGAUUUCUUCGGAAACCUCGCGCCAAAGGAGCGGCCCGCGUCCGAUUAGUUUGACGGCGGGGUAACAGCCCACCGUGACUACCAUCGGUAGCUGGUCUGAGAGGAUGAUCAGCCACACCGGGACUGAGACACGGCCCGGACUCCUACGGGAGGCAGCAGUGGGGAAUAUUGGACAAUGGGGGCAACCCUGAUCCGGCGAUGCCGCGUGUGUGAAGAAGGCCUUCGGGUUGUAAAGCACUUUCGCAGGGGAAGAAACGGUGCGCUCUAACAUAGCGCGCAACUGACGGUACCCUGAAAAGAAGCGCCGGCUAAUUCCGUGCCAGCAGCCGCGGUAAUACGGAAGGCGCAAGCGUUAAUCGGAAUGACUGGGCGUAAAGCGUGCGCAGGCGGCCGCGCAAGUCGGAUGUGAAAGCCCCGGGCUCAACCCGGGAAUGGCGUUCGAAACUGCGCG
rnacentral:rRNA from 1 species